GCACGAGAAGGUUCACUGAGGGGACUUCCCAACUCAGGGUAAGGUGGGUGUUCUGGGUAACACGGAAGCCACAGGCUAGGGCUCUGACGUUCUACAGAGCAGCCGCUAACCCCGUGUGACUAUGAAAAUUAAGACAGUUGAACAUUGUGCUUCUCAGUUGCACUGGCUACAUUUUAAGUGCUCCAGGGCCGCCGUGUAGGCUACUGACUACCAUACUGGACGGCAGGGAGGGAGAUUCCCAUCAGCCCAGAAGGGUCCCUGGAUGGAAGCAUCAGUGGGGUCCUCCCACGGGGUUUCUAACAGUGCGGUGUGCACGUGUGUCAACAUGGGCUCUGGGUAAAAUGCAGCCUGGGACUUUCCAUCUCUGACCAGCGCCCCACUGAUGCUGCUAGUCCAAGGACACACUUUGGGUAGCAGCUGACAGGCCCUGGAGUGGCCUCCUGCACAGAGGAAAACACACCUUGAAAUAAUCCCCUGAACCAAAAAACAGUAACGCAAGGGGAGUUUGUGGGGACCAAAAACUGAGGCUGGGCUAAUCGCAGCUCGCUGUGUGUUCUGCUUUGCUAGUUAACAUGCAGAACCUGUAAAAGAACUCUCCGGAGACCGACCCCAAGCGAGGGUCUAUCAUUAAUCAACUUCAAGCAAACACAGCAAAGAGACACCAUGAUACAUGCUGGAAACUCCAAAUUAAUGCAUAUUUUUACAAACUGUCAAUAAGGCAAGAAAAGCCCUGCCAGGAAACACAAAUGGAGAGGAAAAGGUGUGCUCGACACAACAAUAUGAUAAGAAAGCAGAGCCCCGGUCAGAAUAAUAACACUGUCAGCUGUAAACAAGACUAAACAAGAGGCCCGGCUGGUAGCGGCCACCGGGACGCGCCGGGCUCUGAUGAGAUCUGCCAACGCGCUCAUUACAGCCCAACGCACAGUUCACCCGAAGGGGCCGGCGGGGGACCACACGAAACCACUCCGAUAACAACUGAGAAAUGUUGUUCGUAAAUCAUAUUUACAACCGAUCCUUUUGCAAAUACAAAUUACUUUCAGUUGUGGGGCUUUUGAUAUGUAAAAGAGCCAUUCAAGUUAUAAAACCCGGUCCCCAUUCAAGUUUUAAAAGAAAAAAAAAAGAUCCCAUUGCAGGGACAGGCUACCAGGGGUGGAUUUUUUCGUUCGAUUUUAUCAAGUAUUAGUAAUAAGAGGUGGUGCUGGGGACUGCUGCCUCCCUAAAUAAUUGAUGCUGUGUGCAAACCCUGAAGGCCACUUGAACCUUGAAAAACCAACAGAGGAGUGCUCCGGACUGCCCUUGCCACGGGGACCUCCAGAAGACCAACUGACUCUCAAUUAGCAAGGCCUAGAGAGUGUCUGGAGGUGGAUGUUGGGAAAAAUAGCUUUUAAAAAACAGAGCCCGUGUUCUUACAAACUAUGUGCAAAAUGAAAUAUGCCCAGGUUGUAUUAGAGUAUGUCUCACUAGUUUGGCUCCGUAUAUUCUUAAUUUGUUAAUGGUCCUAUUUAUUUGUUUUCAGAGUCAAGAUCCAGGACCAGAUGCGUAAUUUGCAGAGCCCAGUGCGAAGUGAAAAUGCAUUUCAAAAAUUCAUUGAGACUUUCCAGAUGGAAACCGCUGAGCAUUAAAACCUUCCAGCGUGGGAUCCUUGUGAGACUGUGUCCAUCACAUGCCUGGAAGGCAGCCCUGACAGGCCCCUCCCCUAUAUUCUUUCGGGAAGAAUUGGACAGAGGUGACGACCCUGUGCACCCUGGUUCAAACCCAGCACCUACUAUCGAGUGGAGCCCCAGCAAAGGUGAACCGAUCAGAUCUAUGGUGUGACAACCCGCCAACACAACCAGGAACACACGCCAGUGAAACCUCGGAGUUCUGUGGGCACCACGGAAAACUCUCUUCCACUCAGUAGCUUCAGACGUUUUCGCUCCAUAGUAAGUAUUUCCUGAAGGAGCAUACAUAACAAUUUAUAUUUGCCCUGAACUUCCUUAAUAUCUUAGUAAAUACUCCUGUCAUGACAAUGAUUUAAAGAUGAAUGCGGGUGUGAUAAUAAAGUCAGAAACACCAGGUUGCUAGAGAAGGAUGAUAUAUGGCAGUGGCAGCGGGAGAGAUAAACACGUUCUUAAAAUGUUGUGGAGGAAAUGCUAAGGGACUGUUAUGAAUUUAAAAAGACUAUUUUCAUCUUUAAAGAUCCUUUUCAAAGCACUUUGGGCAUGAAAUUCAAAUGCUAAAUAAUCAAAUUUCAGAUUCCUCCAAAGCCACCAAUUACCCACACUGGCAGACAGCAUUUUGCCUUUGUUGUGAGAUGCCAAUUCAUUCUGUUGCUAAUUGCUACAGGUCAUAUUUUCCAUUCUGAUCACUCAAAUGCUCUUAAACUAAGAUGUUGGUCAGUAAUUCAGAAGCAUUGUGUAGACAAGGGGUCUAUUUCUAGGGGCCGACAGCAUGGUAAACGCUGCAUUGGUUUACUCCUGUAAAGCGGGCGUUGGUUUUACAGACACUCGCUAAGAGGGAGAAGCAUCCCUGGUGAGUCCUACAUGGGAAAAUGGGGUUUCUUUUCUCUUUGAAACUUCUUGCAAGAGAGGGAGCUGUGUCACCCUUCCUGCCUCCCACUGCCCACUCCCAGGGGCAUCUCACACACAUGCAGGACGGACAGCCCUCACCCGGCACUCCGCACGGUUCUGGGCGUGCUCAUUAUACUGCCGUCUGCUGCUAUAAUGCCCCUAUUAAUUUUCCUUUUGAUAUUUUAAGAGCAAUCUAUAAAUCAUGCCGUCUUUCCUUCGUGCCAUCAUUAAUGCUUGGUAAUAGCACUUCAGCGUGGCGUGCGCGGCUCCCCAUUAUCCCACAACCAAGUAAACAAGCAUCCUUUCCCGCCCUGCUGGGUUCAGCGCGCCGGCACGUUGAACAGACAGCGAACUCUGCCCCAGGAUGCAUACUGCUUCUAGGAGGAAAAGGUAAGGUGGCUGAAAUAAUGGCCCGAGCUGGCCGAGCAAGGGCAAAGAGCGCAGGCAUCAUCCCCUUUGCAGCUCUGGGCAUUUGUGGGGCUGCAGGAAGCCCACUGCCUUUAUGGGUCGGAUAUAA